rnacentral:lncRNA from 1 species
CCGGCCCGACCCAUGGACAGGUCUAAUACUAUCCUGAUUUUUCACAUUCCAAUGAUCAGACUCAAAAACAAUAAAAGAAAUAAAGAAUAACACAACCCUAAAGAAAACUUUCCCUCUUCAAUUUUUUUGUGUCACCGUACUUUUCUCCCCUAAUGGAUUUUAGUAUCCAGAUUUGCAAUCUGCAUCGUAUCUUUAUUUCUUCAAUCCAUCCAUUUCUGAGUUCCUUGGAUUUAUGGUAUCCCUUUUCCUUCUCUAGACUCAGCCUUUCACUCAAUAACAACUUCUUUUAAUCAUUUCUCCUAUUUACUCUGAUUAUAAUGGCCUCAAUCUCUAAUGAUGUUUCUUCCAUCCAAAAAUACGGCCCAGUGUACAUAAAUGCUUUUUUAAAUGUAAUCUACAAUAAACAAUGCAACGUAAGGUUUGAAAUUAAUUAUACAAUUGAUGUACAUAAUAAAUUGUGUAUAUUAAAAUAAAAAUAUAUCAAUAAUAAAACUUUAAUUGAGUCAUAAAUUUAAUGUUUUAGUAAUCCAAUUGGUGCGGUUUCAAAUCCCAGCACAUGCAUGUAACAAAAAAAGGCUAUCAAAGAAACUCUAUCACUUAUAUACAUGCAAAUAACACAUAAAAUAUGUACAAUAUUGAGAUGAAAAAACAUAUAAUAAAUAUUCAGAUGUAUGAUUUGAAAUUAAUUAAUUAUAAUAACACAUAAAAUAUGUACAAUAUUGAAAUGAAAAAAGAAUCAAAAUAAAGCUUUGGUUUAAUAGUAAAUUUAUGAUUUUAUUAGAGUGGACUCAAAUCCAACCACAUAUAUAUAUUUUUAAAAUAAAAAAAUAAAAAAUCUUUAAAUAAUAUAAUUUAUUUUAAUUAUAAAAGAAGAUUUUCACAAUUUAAUUCAUAGUAGAAACUUAAAUAAUACUAUAAAUAUAAUAAAAAAUAAAUUAAAUAUGUGUCUAAUAUCAAUUCUAAAUUAUUUACUGAAAUAAUAUUAAAAUUUUGAGAGAGGAGAGAAAAUUUGAUUUAUAAAAAACCGAUUUUUCCUUUUUUAACGUCGGUCAUUUUAUCCGGGUCGGAUCAAAUCAGCUGGAACGUGCAGAUAGAAACCGAUUUUCCACUAUUUUAACAUCAACCAAAUAUUGCAAAAAUCAAUCACCUUCCGGUCUGAGUAUAUUGAUUUUAACAUCAGAUCAAAUCAGAUAUUCGAUUUUCAGUUUUUGUAGAUAAGAUCAAAUUGCAUCACGACAGUUACACGUAAGGGUUAAAAUCUACCACAAGUCUUGAACUUUUUGUAAGUUUAAAAUUUAGUCCUUAUGUUUUUUUUUUAUAAAUUUAAUCUAUUUACUUUUUAGAUUUUAAAAUAUAUGUUCAACUGCUAACAUUGUUAUAAUUAUGUUGUUAAAUUUAAGUUCAUUACAACAUUAUUUUUCUAGUUACAUUGAUUGUAAAUGAGUUUUUUUUAUACAUCAAAAUGUCACACUAAUAAAUUUAACAGAAAAAAUUAACAAUGUUAAUAAAUUGACUUAAAUUUUGAAAUUUAAAAAGUAGAGGAAUUAAAUUUCUAAAAAUAAAAGUACAAAGAUUAAAUUCCAAAUUUUAUAAGAAGUUUAAAAACCUAUAACAUAUUUUAACCAGAUAUAUACUAUACAUAUUUUAACAAAAUAAAGAAAAACCAUGCACGAUAUGUGUUUUCUUUAACCUCCUCAACACUAUCAACUCAGUCAAUGGCUCGUCAUAUAUCAUCAAUAAUAACCAAAUUUAAGGAAUCAUCAUAUGUCAAUUUAGCAAUUUUAUCUGCUACUCCAUUCACCUCACCAAGAAUGUAUUAAACAAAGCUUGAAUAUUGUUUUAAAAAAUAAGAAUUUCAAAUAAUAUAAAUUUAUUUUUCAUAGAAUUAGGUUACAUCGGACCAAGAUGACAUUGCAUCAACUCAACAUCCUUAGAGAAAAAAAAAAAGGGUAAACUACAUUGGUAGUAACUAAACUAUUAGUAUUUAUUUUUCGUCACUCAACUAUGAAAAGUUACAAAAUAAUUAUUCACCUAGUCGGCUUUUUCUUUUUUGGUCACUUAACUACUCGAAGUUUUCCUUUUUGCUCACCACCCGUUAAAUUACUAAUGGAAAAAAUGUAACACCCCUUACCCGAGACCGUUUCCGGAGUCGAGCACGAGGCAUUACUUAGCUUAUCUUACCAAUUCGGAGCAUAAAAACUAGGUUUGAAAAUUUAUUUCAUUAUUCGCAGCAAAUCUGUCUAAUCACGCAGCAGUUACUAAAUUAAUUAUAACUUGAGCUAAAGAACUCGAAAUUUAAUCCCGUAAAUUUUCCCUGAAACUAGACUCAUAUAUCUACUCACCAUAAAAUUUUUAGAAUUUUUUGUUCAGCAAAUUAGUACAUUUUAUUAGUUAAAGUCUCCCCUGUGUCACCACCAGACUGCCCUGACCUCUAGUCACUAAAAAUAAGUUUUCUCACUAUAGGAUUUUCAUAUGAAGUUCUUACUUGUUUCUAUAGAAAAUAGACUCAUUAAGGAAUCUAAGCAUGUAAAUUUCAACUCAUAACCAUUUUUUUACAAUUUGUAAUUAUUUUCUAAACUCAGAAUAGGGGACUCCAAAAACAGUUCUGACCCUAUCUUACAAAAAUUCACAUAUCUUAAAAUAUAAAUUUCUUUUUUCUACACCGUUAUUUUUCCAUGAAAUAGACUCAACAAGCUUUAAUUCCAUAUAUCAUUCACCCUCUAAUUCAUUUUAUACUAUCUUGGGUGAUUUUUCAAAUUCACGUCACUGUGCUGCCUGAAUUCUGUUUCUUUGCAAAAUUUUAUCCUUUCAUGAUUUCCAUGCAUAAUUUAUCACCUAAUCUUUCAUAACAACAAACACCUUCAUCCUUAAUCAUUUUAAUAACCAUACAUCAUCAAAUACUUACACAUCACUCAUUAGCAAAAUCAUCACUACAAACAUACAAAAUAACUAAAUCCCUAUACAUGCCAUAACUUAAACGUGUUUCGAUAUAAAAUACCGAGCAGUUGUAGUUGAUAGUGUGGACGAUCUCCGACUUCUUUAGGAUCCUUGAAGUAGCUUUGCAAUACUAUAAGAGAAAGAGAAAUAAAAGAAGUAAGCAUAAAGCUUAGUAAGUUUACUAGCAAAUAAAUAACAAUAUUUAACUUAAAUAAUUAAACUCAAUGACUAUAUCUCUAGUUUACUCUUUAGUUAAUCUCAUACUAGUUCUCUUACUUGUUUACUUAGAAUAUUUGUGUGCAUAACUUACUCAAUCCUUGCUGCAUCGUUGAACAUCAAUUGAUAGUAUAAUAAGUUCUUAAGUCUUACAACUUACCUGAGCUUACCAUUUAUGCUUUAAACUGAACUUUCAUGAACAUGAUUCGUUUACAAGCCCGUUGAACUACAUUGGAAUAAUAAGGAUACUCGGGUCUCUUCUGAUAAUAACAUGCCAAAGCCAUGUCCCAGACAUGGUCUUACAUGGGAUGUUCUCGUGAUGGUGCCCAUGCCAUGUCCCAGACAUGGUCUUAUAGGGGACCUCUCAUCUCGGUGCCAACGCCAUGUCCCAGACAUGGUCUUACAUGGGACCUCUCGUCUCGGUGCCCAUGCCAUGUCCCAGACAUGGUCUUACAGGGGACCUCUCAUGAUCUUAAGGAUGCCAAUGCCAUGUCCCAGACAUGGUCUUACAUGGGAUCUCUUUACCCAAAUGUCAUGACAUUCGUAUCCAGUACCAUCCUUAUGUAUCAACGGGACUUUUAAAUUUUUAUUCUCUAUCAUUUCAUGCUUGGAUCAUCAUCAAAUAAAUUCAUAAUUGCUGGAAAUUAACAGCAUUAAUAAUAAAUAUUGAAAUAUUGCAUUUAUUUACCGUAAACUUACCUCGGUAACAAUUAUAGCCAAAUUCACCAACUUAGUCUUCAACUUUAUUCUUCCCUUUGUCUAACCUCGAGUUUCGUACUUCUUGAUCUAAAAUAGUAAAUUUAACUUAUUUAAUAAUCACAUUCAUCAAAACAGCCCUCGACUCUAACUUUUUUAAAAUUACAAAUUUGCCCCUAAACUUUUACAUAAUUACAUUUUUGCCCCAAGGCUCGGAAAUUAAACUUCAUCUCUUAUUCUUAUGUUUUAUAACAUUCUGAACAUUUUUCCCUUCUAUGGCAACAUCAAAUUCUAAUUUAAUCCCUUAUCAAUACUAAUUUUAUUUUUCCCAAUCUAACUCUAUAUUCUCUCUUAAUUCUUACUAUAAAGUCAAUUUAAUUCCUCAAUUUCACCAUAAAUCCCUAAUUUCGGGAUUCUUUCAAUUUAAUCCCUAUCGAUUCAAAACUUAUAUUUUAUUUUACAAUUACGUUCUUUACUAACUUCUAACUUGAAAUUAAAUCAAUUUAACCCCUAACUAAACCUAUAUAUUUUUCUUUCUCAAUUCAUACCCUUAUUCUACCCAAUUUCUUGCUAAACUCAUAUUUAACUAUUUAAUUUUUAUCAUGUUUUCAUAAUUCCGAAUUUAUUUCAAAUUAAUCCCUAAAAUUCAAAACUUAUAGUUUAGUUUACAAUUCAAUCCUUUAUUCAAUUCCAAUCAAAAUUUCUAUCAAAUACAUCCCUAAUUUAACAAUUUAUUCAACAUGAACCAUGCUUAAUAAUCUACUAACUUCCAAAAUUUCAACUUAAUCAAGUAGUAUUUUGUUCUAGGAUUUCAAAAAAAUAUCAAAAUUAAGAGAAAAUGGGAUUAAAUUGACUUACCAAAUUACUUUGAACCUUAAAACCCCAAAUUUCCCUUUUUCUUUUCUUUUCUUUCUUUCUUUCCUUCCUUCCUUCUCUGUUUCUUUUUGCUCUCUGUUUCUUUCUUUCUCCCUUCUCUGUUUUGUUUUGCUCUCUGUUUCUUUUCUUUCUUUCUUUGUCAUAUAUAUAUAAUAAUAAUAUAAUAUAAUAUAAUAUAAUAUAAUAUAAU